CUACGGGACGCUGCAGUGAGGAAUAUUGCACAAUGGGGGGAACCCUGAUGCAGCAACGCCGCGUGGAGGAUGACGCAUUUCGGUGUGUAGACUCCUUUUAUAUGUCAAGAAAAUGACGGUAGCAUAUGAAUAAGCACCGGCUAACUCCGUGCCAGCAGCCGCGGUAAUACGGAGGGUGCAAGCGUGUACUCGGAAUCACUGGGCGUAAAGGACGCGUAGGCGGGUUGGAAAGUCAGGUGUGAAAUCCUACAGCUUAACUGUAGAACUGCACUUGAAACUUCUAAUCUAGAGUAUGGGAGGGGGAGAUGGAAUUAGUGGUGUAGGGGUAAAAUCCGUAGAUAUCACUAGGAAUACCUAAAGCGAAGGCGAUCUCCUGGAACAUUACUGACGCUAAGGCGUGAAAGCGUGGGGAGCAAACAGGAUUAGAUACCCUUGUAGUC
rnacentral:rRNA from 1 species